GGGGAUUUAGCUCAGUGGUAGAGCGCUUGCCUAGCAAACACAAGGCCCUGGGUUCAGUCCCCA
rfam:Rattus norvegicus chromosome 8, whole genome shotgun sequence.